rnacentral:misc_RNA from 1 species
GAUGAAGAACGCAGCGAAAUGCGAUAACUAGUGUGAAUUGCAGAAUUCCGUGAAUCAUCGAGUCUUUGAACGCACAUUGCGCCCCCUGGUAUUCCGGGGGGCAUGCCUGUCCGAGCGUCAUUGCUGCCCAUCAAGCACGGCUUGUGUGUUGGGUCGUCGUCCCCCCCUCCGGGGGGGGCCGGGCCCUAAAGGCAGCGGCGGCACCGCGUCCGAUCCUCGAGCGUAUGGGGCUUUGUCACCCGCUCUGUAGGCCCGGCCGGCGCUUGCCGAACGCAAAACAACCAUUCUUUCCAGGUUGACCUCGGAUCAGGUAGGGAUACCCGCUGAACUUAAGCAUAUCAAUAAGCGGAGGA